AACUGGGGAACUUGAAUAAGUAUAUAUUUUGAAAAUAUAAUAAAGAAAUUGAAAUUUCUUCUGGUUU
rnacentral:tRNA from 1 species